CGCAGGUGGGUCUGUUCUGCCAGGCACGGGUAAGGGCACCGGAAUUGUCGUGGUGCUUUUGGAGGGAGCGAGAGAAGAGCUGCAAAAGGCCAAGUUUGCCCGUUUCUCUGCCUUUGCAAUGACUCUUAAAUGGCCUGAAGGUCUCCAGGAGGCAGCUGCACUUCCACAUCCCAGCAGCGAUCCCUGAAGCCUGCUGCGCACCCGAAGGAGCGAGCCGGCUCCUGGCAGCAGCGGGUAAGGGCUGGAGCUGUGGUGCCUGCUGGCAGGGUUCAGCAGAGGGUGUCCUGCCUGUCCCUGCCUCUUGCUUCCUGCCUUCACAGCUGCCUUCCCUGGCCCUCCAGGGAGGCAGCACCGAGGAGCACUUGGUCGGUGCAUUGGAGGCUGCAGCCUUCGUCUGUGCUGGAUGAGGAGGGGGAGGCUGGCUGGAGCUGGGCUCUUUGAGUCAAACACCUCAAGGUGUUUGGCCUGGGAGGCACAGACUGGGGAAGGAGGUGAAGGGGAGCUCUGCGAGGUUAUCAGGGUCCCUUGGCACGUGAAGGGAAGCUCUCCUUUAGCCCCCUCAGGCUAACUGUUGGCCUCCAGGCUCAGCAGGGGCUGCAGGCAGGUGGCUGUGGUGGUGCAGGACUGAGCUGAGUGAAGGCUGAUGUUGGCAUCUCUGUGCAGUGCUCUCACACUUGCAAUUUCCCCACCUCAAACACCAGCCAGUUCUGAGCACAUCAGGGCCGGACUCAUCCUGACAGCGCUUUUCUCCCAAGCCCGUUGUUGAUCUGGAUGUUAUUGCAGGGUCUCGACUAGAAGAGCUGCUCUUGCAGCCGGCAGGAGAGCUGCCAGCCUUUGUGCCCAGCCAGGUGUUGGCAGUUAUUGCUGAUCCUGUCUCCAAGAGCAAGGAGACAGAGGGCUGCUGGCACCGGGGAUGUUGCCCAGUCUCUGCCAUUUCAUACUGAAAGCUGGUUCGUUGCCUGGUUAAAACCUCAGUCCCAGCUAAGCCCCUGGAUCUCGAUGCCCCUCCAGCUGUCUCCUGAGUGACGACUUUUCAACUAUUGUGCAAAUGCAGCAGCUCCUGAAGCCCUGCUGCUGUUCCAGACAACUGCUCCCAAGUGAUUGAUGGGGUCCGGCGAGGACUGCAGCAUCACCAGGGAGAAGCUGUUGCCUGCUGCUACUGAGGGCAGCAAGGGAGAUGGAUCCUGUUUGCUCUGUGAGAAGGGAACGGAGGCCUAGAGGUGCUGUUCCUGAAAUGCACUCAGAUUUCACAGGACAUUAGGCCCCACAUGGCUUUGAGAACCUGCUGGGGACAGGAUGGACUUUCAGGAAUCACGUAGGAAGCUAGUAG